GAGCGGUAUCGAGAGGGCAGCCCGUGCCCCAUGUUGUGAGCGUUUGAGGACUGCCGGGGGCAGAAGUGAAAGGGUGGGAAGGGUGGUGCCGCGGGCAUGGAGUAUGGAGGCGGUGGCGGGGGCGGUGUGGGACGUGGGGGUGUCCAACCACCCUCCGCAGGUGCGAGGGGCAUCGCAGGCACCGACACUAUCGACGCUCUCGACGCGUGGCACAAAAACGAACAAAGGCUCCUCAUGGAGUCCAGGCACAAGCAACAAUUGAGCGGGAGGACGGGGACCGGAGGGGCGCCCUUGUAUGGGCGAUUGGUCGCCGAGGAGCCCAUGCCCCCAACGGUAUGCGGCGGAGGGGGCGGCGGUGGUGGUGGGGGUGCCGGUGGGGUUCAGCAGGAGACCGCCACGGACAUCCACGCCAUGCAGGCCAGGAUACCCCACAGAUUCCGCGAUCCAGCGACGGCACCCCUACGGAAGCUAAGCGUCGAUCUUAUCAAAACCUACAAGCACAUCAACGAGGUUUAUUAUGCGAAGAAGAAGAGAAGGGCACAGCAGAUGCAGGGAGAAGAUGGUUCGCAUAAAAAAGAAAGAAAGCUUUACAAUGACGGUUGGGAUGACGACAACCACGAUUACAUUAUCAAGAAUGGGGAAAAGUUCCUCGAUCGAUACGAGAUCGACUCAUUAAUAGGUAAAGGCAGUUUUGGCCAAGUAGUAAAAGCAUUUGACCACGAAGAGCAAACACAAGUGGCAAUAAAAAUCAUAAAGAAUAAAAAACCUUUUCUAAAUCAAGCCCAAAUCGAAGUUAGGUUGUUGGAAAUGAUGAACAGGGCGGAUACGGACAACAAGUAUUAUAUAGUUAAACUGAAGAGGCAUUUUAUGUGGCGAAAUCACUUAUGUUUGGUAUUCGAAUUGCUAUCGUAUAAUCUCUAUGACUUACUUAGGAAUACAAAUUUUCGGGGUGUGUCGUUAAAUUUGACAAGAAAAUUUGCACAGCAAUUGUGUACUGCCCUCUUGUUCCUGUCUACACCGGAAUUGAACAUCAUUCACUGUGAUCUGAAACCCGAGAACAUUCUUUUAUGUAAUCCCAAACGAAGCGCGAUAAAAAUAGUCGACUUCGGUAGUUCGUGUCAACUUGGCCAGAGGAUAUAUCAGUAUAUCCAGUCCAGGUUUUACAGAUCUCCAGAAGUCCUCUUAGGAAUACCUUAUGACCUCGCGAUAGACAUGUGGAGUUUGGGAUGUAUUUUGGUAGAAAUGCACACAGGAGAACCUUUGUUUAGUGGGGCCAAUGAGGUCGAUCAAAUGAACAAAAUUGUCGAAGUAUUAGGCAUGCCACCAAAACGUAUAUUGGACCAAGCGCAUAAAGCGCGGAAAUACUUUGACAAAGUCCCCACGGACGGCUCGUACGUGCUGAAAAAGUCCAAAGACGGUAAAAAGUAUAAACCUCCUGGUACAAGGCGGUUGCACGAAAUUUUGGGCGUUGAAAGUGGCGGUCCUGGUGGUAGAAGGAUAGGUGAACCUGGUCACUCGAUCUCUGACUACCUCAAAUUUAAGGACUUAAUUCUACGAAUGUUGGAUUUUGAUCCAAAGACGAGAGUUACGCCAUACUACGCGCUUCAGCACAAUUUCUUUAAAAGAACAGCCGAUGAGGGGACCAACACGAACAUUGCUGCUGCGAAUAGUGCAAAUACAAGUCCAGCAGUGGUGUCAAUGAGCCAGGAUCAUGAUAUGAUGGGGGGACAGUACGUGGCUCGAUGACUGUCGUAUCCGCGGGGCGGCGACGACCUGUCCUAGGCCCCAACCUUAAUCUUACUUACUAACAUAAGACUGGUAACCAUGUCAGGACAGGGCAGCAGCAGCAGCGGUAGUCUGAUGCAAGUGUCAAGCCUCCCUGGUAGCUAUCAACCC
rnacentral:misc_RNA from 1 species